rnacentral:rRNA from 1 species
GACUUUCGCUAAGAAAGUCUUUUGACACCUCUAAAAAUGGUGUAGAAUAAGGGGUGGGCAAGUCUGGUGUCAGCCGCCGCGGUAAUACCAGCACCCCGAGUGGUCGGGACGAUCAUUGGGCCUAAAGCAUCCGUAGCCGGUUUUACAAGUCCUCCGUUAAAUCCAGCUGCUUAACAGAUGGGCUGCGGAGGAUACUAUAAGACUAGGAGGCAGGAGAGGCAAGCGGUACUCAGUGGGUAGGGGUAAAAUCCGUUGAUCCAUUGAAGACCACCAGUGGCGAAGGCGGCUUGCCAGAAUGCGCUCGACGGUGAGGGAUGAAAGCUGGGGGAGCAAACCGGAUUAGAUACCCGGGUAGUCCCAGCUGUAAACGAUGCAGACUCGGUGAUGGACUAGCUUUAUGCUAGUCCAGUGCCGCAGGGAAGCCGUUAAGUCUGCCGCCUGGGUAGUACGGUCGCAAGACUGAAACUUAAAGGAAUUGGCGGGGGAGCACCACAAGGGGUGAAGCCUGCGGUUCAAUUGGAGUCAACGCCGGGAAUCUUACCGGGGGCGACAGCAGGAUGAAGGUCAAGCUGAAGACUUUACUAGACAAGCUGAGAGGAGGUGCAUGGCCGUCGCCAGCUCGUGCCGUGAGGUGUCCUGUUAAGUCAGGUAACGAGCGAGACCCCUGCUUCUAGUUGCUACUUUUAUUCCUCGGAGUAGAAGGGCUAAUUAGAAGGACUGCCGCCGCUAAGGCGGAGGAAGGAGGGGGCUACGGCAGGUCAGUAUGCCCCGAAACCCUCGGGCCACACGCGGGCUGCAAUGGUAAGUACAAUAGGUUCCGAUUCCGAAAGGAGGAGGCAAUCCCGUAAAACUUACCACAGUUAUGAUUGAGGGCUGAAACUCGUCCUCAUGAAUAUGGAAUCCCUAGUAU